rfam:Stegodyphus mimosarum contig86997, whole genome shotgun sequence.
GCCUCCGUGGUAUAACCGUAGCACACUCGGCGCGUAUUCGAGAGGUCCAGGUUCGAAUCCUGGCGAGGGCA